rnacentral:rRNA from 1 species
GACAGAGGGUGCAAACGUUGCUCGGAAUCACUGGGCGUAAAGGGCGUGUAGGCGGGACAGUAAGUCGGGCGUGAAAUCCCUGGGCUCAACCCAGGAACUGCACUCGAAACUACUAUUCUUGAGUGUCGGAGAGGAAAGCGGAAUUCCUGGUGUAGAGGUGAAAUUCGUAGAUAUUCGCAGGAACACCAGUGGCGAAGGCGGCUCACUGGUCCGGUACUGACGCUGAGGUGCGAAAGCGUGGGGAGCAAACAGG